UGCUCUUCCUAUCUGGGCAACCCCAGGAGAAUUGGAGAAACUUUAGAUCUGGCAAGAAAACUCCUAAUUCCAUCUCUGAUUCUUUCAAAAUCUUAUUACAAUGUCAUAGCACAGAGCAGGCCAAAAAAGUAUUUACUAUGGAUACAUAAGCCUUGAUGUAGUCCCAGGGCCUUUGACAUGGCAGUUACAUGACAUCUUGUAGGCCUGGGUGUUUGUUUAUAUUACAUGACCAGUAAACUUGUCUUCUACAUUUGUUUCUUAAAAGGGCAACCAUGCUUCCUAGCCCAUCCUCCGCAUUUUUUGACCAUUUACACUUGUAAGUCAAAAUAUCAUGAGCAUUUCCUCCCAGUAUAUGUACAUUUUUAUUCAUAAGCAAUAUACAUAUACUAUCCAAUGAUACGUGGGCCAUUAGAAUAUGACAAGAUAAAAUUAUAUACAUGUGUUUUUAAUUUUAUUUAAUUGCUUAAGGGUUUUAUUUUGUUUGUUAAUGGAAACUUCACCUCCUUAUCCUUACCUUCAUUUCCCCACUCUUCCUCUAGCCUACCUACCUACCAACCACAGGGCAUAACUUAGGAGGUAGCAUGGAACAGGGGACAUUAGGUAUUUGCAGUAAAUAGAAGUGGAAUGACAUUUUUCCAUUCCCUGCUCAGAGCUAUCACCUCAUAUUUUAUAGGGAUACAUGGAAUUAUGUUAUCAACUCCCAUUAUUUAUAUUACCACCUUAUCAACUCUAUAUGUUAUUCAUUAGCUACAUAUGAAAUAGGACUAAGUUUUUAAGUUAAUCCUCUUUCAAAAACACUUCUUUUAUCUAUAGCAUUUAAUUUCUAGUUAAGCAUGGCUAAACAAUACACUUUUUGGUCUGCUUCUUUCUCAAAUCUCACUAAACUGACAGUGAAAGGAUAGGCCAUGAAGAAGCAAUGAAAAUUAUAAAAAGCUUGGUGUAUCUAUUACUGCAUAAAAACUACCUCAAAAUUAGUGGCUUAAUAUAACACCAUUUAUUAGAAAACCAUUCUUGGGUCAGCAAUUUGUUCAAGGUGCGGUCCGGAUGACUCAUCUCUGCCCCCCGUGGCGUCAAGUAGGCUUACUUGCAAUUGCAAUCAGUGGGCAUUUAGCUGGGGUUAAUAAUUAGGGUGCCUUAGUUCUCCACAUGGCUUCCCCAGCAGGCGAGCUCAGGCUUCCUCACGUAUUGUUGAGAUUCCAAAGAAGGCAAGAGCUGAAGCUGCAAAGGCUUCUUGGGGACUUGUUAGAAGUCAUAGACAUCACUUCUUCACUUCUGCAGCAUUCUGUUGGUUAAUGCAAGUAGCAAGGUGUAAUAGACUGGGUUGUGUUCCUCUGAAACUCUUACCUUGAAGCCCUAACCCGCAAUGUGACUGUAUUUGGAGAUGUACAGACUUUAAGAAAGUAGUUAAGAAUAAAUAAGGUGAUAAGGGUGGGCCCUUCAUCCAAUAGGACUAAGUGCCCUUCUAAGAAGAGGAAGCAACACCAGGGAUAUGCAUGCACAGAGAAAAGGCCUCAGCAAGGAGGUGGCCUUCUACAAGCCAUGGAGAGUGGUCUCACCUGAUACCAAUCCUGCCAAUACUUUGACCUUGGACUUCCAGCCUCCACAACUAUGAGAAAAUACUUUCCUAUUGGAUAAGCCAUCCAGUCUAUGGCAUUUUGUUAUGACAGCCUCAGAAGACUAAUACACAAGCCCAGCCCAGAUUUAAGGAGUAGAACAUAGACACCACCUCUUGAUGAAAGGAGCUGUAAACAAUUUUGUGACCAUUUUUAAUCUACCACAUUUGGAAAAUGUCAGCUUGUUUUAGAAAGUGUAAGUAUAUCAAGAGGAAUACUUAGAGAAAUGCACAUAUUACUCCUCCCUACCACCGCUUAUUUUCUUUAAACAACUUUGUAACUGAAAUU